AGGGCACCACCAGGAGUGGAGCCUGCGGCUUAAUUUGACUCAACACGGGAAAACUCACCCGGCCCGGACACUGGAAGGAUUGACAGAUUGAGAGCUCUUUCUUGAUUCAGUGGGCGGUGGUGCAUGGCCGUUCUUAGUUGGUGGAGUGAUUUGUCUGGUUAAUUCCGAUAACGAACGAGACUCUAGCCUAUUAAAUAGAUCGUUGGCUUACAAACGCCGGCGAGACUUCUUAGAGGGACAGGCGGCGAUUCAGCCGCACGAAACAGAGCAAUAACAGGUCUGUGAUGCCCUUAGAUGUCCGGGGCCGCACGCGCGCUACACUGAAGUGAUCAGCGUGCAUUUUGAAACCUACUCUGUCAAGAGUGGGGAACCCAAUGAACCUUCUUCGUGAUUGGGAUAGAGGAUUGUAAUUAUUCCCCUUGAACGAGGAAUUCCCAGUAAGCGCGAAUCAUAAGUUUGCGCUGAUUACGUCCCUGCCCUUUGUACACACCGCCCGUCGCUACUACCGAUUGAAUGUUU
rnacentral:rRNA from 1 species